rnacentral:lncRNA from 1 species
AUGUAUUCCCAUUGCAGUGUCCUCACCUGUGAAAUUGAUAUUGUAAGGCCACCCCACAAUGUUGUGAGGUUGGAGCUAGAGUAUGUAAAGUGCCUCUUCUGUUGCCACUACCUGGAGAUUUGUUGUAGCCUAUUGACUGUCAUCAAAGAAAACCAAUCACCUAACCUAAAGCCUCAAGCUUUUUAUCAGCAAAAAUGUUUUGUGGCAGGCAGAAGGACCACCUCGAAGAGAUUUCUGCCACAUCACAGGGCAAGAAAGCCAAAGACAUUCCCCGACCCUCAAGCGAGGCAGUCGCCUUGAUUGGAAGGACCAGGCCAGUCAGCACCAAAACCAUGAGACUGAAAAUCAAACUCCAGAGUGGACAAAGAACAUCUCCAAACCGCUGUGGGGACCAGUGAUGCUGGGACCUGACAUCUCCUGCUUCCUAUCUUGGCACUUUUAGAAAUUCCCCGACCUGAUUAACACAGCCCUGGGGAAGAGAGAGGGCCUCCGUUGAUAAGAUUAUUGUCACUGCAGCUGAGUGGGGGCUUGAAAAAAGAAAACUCAGUUACAGAAAAAAAUUCUAUUUGUUACACAUUUGAGUUGUAGACAACAGUCUUUAUGUUCAAUGUUAUAAGAUUUUCCUUUACUCAAAGAUCAUGAGGUUUCAUUUUUUAACAUUUUUAUUUGGUGCCUAUAAUUGACAAAAACAAACUGAGGGACAUCAACAAACACUGCCAUGCCUGGCAUCAUCACCUCACUAGGUUAUGAGUUCCUGUAGGACAGGGUCCAUAGAUUUCCUUUGAAUCUCCCACCUGGUCAGUAGCACACACGAUGCUUACAUUAGUAGGUACUCAGUAAAUAUUGAAUUAAAGAGUCAUGAACAAAAUAUGCACUGAAAACUUUGGGUGUUGUUUCUUCUUCUUGGUAGUGCAAUAUUUAAGAUACUUAGGUUACAAAUACUUUAAUAUUAGUUGUCAAAAAUAUAUUUGAGUACUGCACAUUUUUGACCUGUGUUUUUAGGUGUUUAGAACCACACUUCUGCUUUGAGUUUUAAAUAACUACUUUCAGUACCACAAUAAUAAUUGAUGGUUUUAUUUUUUAUUGUCAUUUCUUAUUCCUUUUACAAUCAGACCGUAAUAAAGAUGCAUUCGCAGACUUCA